UCAGCCACCCUACUUCAGCAAACACCUCACCCUCAGUCAAUGUCUGGUCUCGUUUGAAUAAAGACGCUAACCUGUGUUUCAAGUUUAUGCUCGCUGUGUUUUCCUCAAGUGCCUGUUCUCAGUGUCUCCAAGUCUUCCCAUCGUGAGUACGUAUUUCAUGUGUGAUACUUACCUCAAUACUCACCGGCAUUAACCCGAGGUGUGUGUUCACUCAUCACUCCUAUGUUCACGAUGUCCUCCACACCUGCAAGGAAGGGCUUUGUCAGCAUGUGGAUUUCUGCAGCAGUCCAAUUCCAGUCUUGCAUUAGUUGUAAAUGGAGUCAAGUCUGAAGGAUCUUCCAGCAUUGGUCGAAGAUGCACCAAGGGCUGGGAGAAACUUGGAACGCAAUGCUUUAAGUAUUUCAGCGACUUAAAGCCAUGGGCUGAAGCAGAGAAACAAUGUCUUAACCUCGGAGGAAACCUUGUAUCUGUCCACAGUCAACUCGCUCACAAUUUCCUAAAAACCCUUGUGAAAAAACAUGGUAGUGACAACUCCCGUACCUGGAUUGGUGCUCAUGAUGCAAUUAAGCACUGCCUACCAGUUAAAGAUGAAAGACAUGAAAUUAGACGCAUCAGCACGUGGAAAAGGCCGAGUUUGGUAAUGUUCUUUAGGAUGAUAUCUGGUUUUGGAGUGAUUGAUCAGAAUUUGAGUACAGUUACUGGUGAACCAAAUAAUGGAGGAGGAAAGGAACAUUGUGUGGAAAUGGGUUCUGGAGGUGAGAAACGCUGGAAUGACGCACACUGCGACACUCUUCUCAAUUUCAUCUGUUGCAGAACAACUAGAAAUAACUCCUAAUCCUAACUUUGUUAAACCAAUAUCUCGUUUGUCCAUCACUGAUUUAUAUAGUCUCCAAAUUGCUGAUUGUAACAGACAUGCUUUGAUUUUGAAUUUUAAUGCUGAUCUUUGC